UGGGGAAUUUUGGACAAUGGGCGAAAGCCUGAUCCAGCAAUGCCGCGUGUGUGAAGAAGGCCUUCGGGUUGUAAAGCACUUUUGUCCGGAAAGAAAUCCUUGGCUCUAACACAGUCGGGGGAUGACGGUACCGGAAGAAUAAGCACCGGCUAACUACGUGCCAGCAGCCGCGGUAAUACGUAGGGUGCAAGCGUUAAUCGGAAUUACUGGGCGUAAAGCGUGCGCAGGCGGUUUGCUAAGACCGAUGUGAAAUCCCCGGGGCUCAACCUGGGAACUGCAUUGGUGACUGGGCAGGCUAGAGUAUGGCAGAGGGGGGUAGAAUUCCACGUGUAGCAGUGAAAUGCGUAGAGAUGUGGAGGAAUACCGAUGGCGAAGGCAGCCCCCUGGGCCAAUACUGACGCUCAUGCACGAAAGCGUGGGGAGCAAACAGGAUUAGAUACCCUGGUAGUCCACGCCCUAAACGAUGUCAACUAGUUGUUGGGGAUUCAUUUCCUUAGUAACGUAGCUAACGCGUGAAGUUGACCGCCUGGGGAGUACGGUCGCAAGAUU
rnacentral:rRNA from 1 species